rnacentral:miRNA from 1 species
UACAGAAUCUGUAUCCCCGUAC